GUGCUCACUUUGGCAGUACAUAUACUAAAACUGGAACACAGAGAAGAUUAGCAUGGCCCCUGAGCAAGAUGACAUGAAAAUUUGUGAAGCAUUUCAUAUUUCU
rfam:Erinaceus europaeus unplaced genomic scaffold scaffold00539, whole genome shotgun sequence